rnacentral:rRNA from 1 species
AGAGUUUGAUCCUGGCUCAGAUUGAACGCUGGCGGCAUGCUUUACACAUGCAAGUCGAACGGCAGCAUGACCUAGCUUGCUAGGUUGAUGGCGAGUGGCGAACGGGUGAGUAAUACAUCGGAACGUACCCAAUAGUGGGGGAUAACGCAGCGAAAGCUGUGCCAAUACCGCAUACGUCCUACGGGAGAAAGCGGGGGAUCUUCGGACCUCGCGCUAAUGGAGCGGCCGAUGUCAGAUUAGCUAGUUGGUGGGGUAAAGGCCCACCAAGGCGACGAUCUGUAGCUGGUCUGAGAGGAUGAUCAGCCACACUGGGACUGAGACACGGCCCAGACUCCUACGGGAGGCAGCAGUGGGGAAUUUUGGACAAUGGGGGCAACCCUGAUCCAGCCAUGCCGCGUGAGUGAAGAAGGCCUUCGGGUUGUAAAGCUCUUUCGCAAGGGAAGAAAACUUAGCCACUAA